UACGAAGGGGGGCUAGCGUUGCUCGGAAUCACUGGGCGUAAAGGGUGCGUAGGCGGGUCUUUAAGUCAGAGGUGAAAUCCUGGAGCUCAACUCCAGAACUGCCUUUGAUACUGAGGAUCUUGAGUUCGGGGAGAGGUGAGUGGAACUGCGAGUGUAGAGGUGAAAUUCGUAGAUAUUCGCAAGAACACCAGUGGCGAAGGCGGCUCACUGGCCCGAUACUGACGCUGAGGCACGAAAGCGUGGGGGAGCAAACAGG
rnacentral:rRNA from 1 species